rnacentral:rRNA from 1 species
GAUGAACGCUGGCGGCUUGCCUAAUACAUGCAAGUCGAGCGAACUGACGAGAAGCUUGCUUCUCUGAUGUUAGCGGCGGACGGGGGAGUAACACGUGGAUAACCUACCUAUAGGACUUGGAUAACUUCGGGAAACCGGAGCUACUACCGGAGAAUAUUUUGAACCGCAGUGUUCAAAAGUGAAUGACGGUCUUGCUGUCACUUAUAGAUUGAUCCGCGCUGCAUUAGCUAGUUGGUAAGGUAACGGCUUACCAAGGCAACGAUGCAUAGCCGACCUGAGAGGGUGAUCGGCCACACUGGAACUGAGACACGGUCCAGACUCCUACGGGAGGCAGCAGUAGGGAAUCUUCCGCAAUGGGCGAAAGCCUGACGGAGCCACGCCGCGUGAGUGAUGAAGGUCUUCGGAUCGUAAAACUCUGUUAUUAGGGAAGAACAUAUGUGUAAGUAACUGUGCACAUCUUGACGGUACCUAAUCAGAAAGCCACGGCUAACUACGUG